UGUUACAAGAAAACAAAGAUUAAUUUAAAAAGACACCUAUUUGAGUUUUCCAGCUAGCUGCCCUUCCUCGUCACCUGAGUUAACUGCGACUGUCACUUUAUCACUUUAUAAACGUUACAGUCUGUCUCCAUCUGCCGGCUGUCGGCUGCACCUCUUCGCCAGGCCCUCAUUCAUUCACCAAAGGGGGAAACGUGCCUGAAUAUAGACUGUGUGCCAGCUUUCUGCGUAACAGCUGAUCGAUGGAUCGCAGCGAGGUGACAGCGCAGCGCAGUGACAGAGGCAGACAGACAGCAGCUUUUCCUUUC